GCAGGGGUGGUGGAAUAGGCAGACACGCAUGCUUGAGGGGCAUGUGGUCGUAUAGACCGUGCGGGUUCAAAUCCCGCUCUCUGCACCA
rnacentral:tRNA from 1 species